rnacentral:rRNA from 1 species
UAGGGAAUCUUCCGCAAUGGACGCAAGUCUGACGGAGCAACGCCGCGUGAGUGAGGAAGGUUUUCGGAUCGUAAAACUCUGUUGUUAGGGAAGAACACGUACUGGAGUAACUGCCAGUACCUUGACGGUACCUAACGAGAAAGCCACGGCUAACUACGUGCCAGCAGCCGCGGUAAUACGUAGGUGGCAAGCGUUGUCCGGAAUUAUUGGGCGUAAAGGGCGCGCAGGCGGCUUCUUAAGUCUGAUGUGAAAUCUCGCAGCUCAACUGCGAGCGGUCAUUGGAAACUGGGGAGCUUGAGUACAGAAGAGGAGAGUGGAAUUCCACGUGUAGCGGUGAAAUGCGUAGAGAUGUGGAGGAACACCAGUGGCGAAGGCGGCUCUCUGGUCUGUAACUGACGCU